rnacentral:rRNA from 1 species
AGGCUGAAGACUUUUGCCGGAUUAGCUGAGAGGUGGUGCAUGGCCGUCGUCAGUUCGUACUGUGAAGCAUCCUGUUAAGUCAGGCAACGAGCGAGACCCACGCCAACAGUUGCCAGCAUGUCCUCCGGGAUGGUGGGGACACUGUUGGGACCGCCUCUGCUAAAGAGGAGGAAGGAAUGGGCAACGGUAGGUCAGCAUGCCCCGAAUUAUCCGGGCUACACGCGGGCUACAAUGGUCAGGACAAUGGGCACCAACACCGAAAGGUGAAGGCAAUCUCUUAAACCUGUCCUUAGUUCGGAUUGUGGGCUGCAACUCGCCCACAUGAAGCUGGAAUCUGUAGUAAUCGCGUCUCAAAAUGGCGCGGUGAAUAUGUCCCUGCUCCUU